rnacentral:piRNA from 1 species
UCCUGUGACUAGAACUACAACCCCACAGUC